CAGUAGCCACGGUAAAACGUAGGGUGCAAGCGUUAAUCGGAAUUACUGGGCGUAAAGCGUGCGCAGGCGGUUAUGUAAGACAGUUGUGAAAUCCCCGGGCUCAACCUGGGAACUGCAUCUGUGACUGCAUAGCUAGAGUACGGUAGAGGGGGAUGGAAUUCCGCGUGUAGCAGUGAAAUGCGUAGAUAUGCGGAGGAACACCGAUGGCGAAGGCAAUCCCCUGGACCUGUACUGACGCUCAUGCACGAAAGCGUGGGGAGCAAACAGGAUUAGAUACCCGCGUAGUCCCUGUCUCUUAUAC
rnacentral:rRNA from 1 species